UACGGGGGGGGCAAGCGUUGUUCGGAAUUACUGGGCGUAAAGGGCUCGUAGGUGGCCAACUAAGUCAUACGUGAAAUCCCUCAGCUUAACUGGGGAACUGCGCCUGAUACUGGUUGGCUUGAGUUUGGGAGAGGGACGCGGAAUUCCAGGUGUAGCGGUGAAAUGCGUAGAUAUCUGGAGGAACACCGGUGGCGAAGGCGGCGUCCUGGGUUAACACUGACGCUCAGGCACGAAAGCGUGGGGAGCAAACAGG
rnacentral:rRNA from 1 species